CCUAUCUUUAUUAUCUCUCAGCCUUCUAAGCCCUUCCACUCAUAAAGUCUAUUUUCUUUUUCACUUCCACUUUCUCUCAGAUACUAAUUCAUGCCUAUUCUCAGAUAUAAACCUUAUACCAGCAACCUUCCCAAAAUCUCUGCUCAAAGACCUUAGUUAUCACUUCAACCUUAAAAUUCUGUCAGUAUUUUUGAUGAAGAGGAA